rnacentral:rRNA from 1 species
GAGUUUGAUCAUGGCUCAGGAUGAACGCUGGCGGCGUGCCUAAUACAUGCAAGUCGAGCGAACAGACGAGGAGCUUGCUCCUCUGACGUUAGCGGCGGACGGGUGAGUAACACGUGGAUAACCUACCUAUAAGACUGGGAUAACUUCGGGAAACCGGAGCUAAUACCGGAUAAUAUAUUGAACCGCAUGGUUCAAUAGUGAAAGACGGUUUUGUCUGUCACUUAUAGAUGGAUCCGCGCCGCAUUAGCUAGUUGGUAAAGUAACGGCUUACCAAGGCAACGAUGCGUAGCCGACCUGAGAGGGUGAUCGGCCACACUGGAACUGAGACACGGUCCAGACUCCUACGGGAGGCAGCAGUAGGGAAUCUUCCGCAAUGGGCGAAAGCCUGACGGAGCAACGCCGCGUGAUGAUGAAGGUCUUCGGAUCGUAAAACUCUGUUAUUAGGGAAGAACAAAUGUGUAAGUAACUAUGCACGUCUUGACGGUACCUAAUCAGAAAGCCACGGCUAA